rnacentral:rRNA from 1 species
CGCAUUAUAAAACCCAAUUCAUAAAAACUCACUAUUUAUAAAAUUUUUAUUACUACCAAGUCCAACUUCAUAAAAAAAUUACAUUUUUUAAUCCGAUUAAAAAUUAUAAAUUGUAGCUCACUUUAAACCUUUUUCAUAAACUGCAUUUUGACUUGACAUCAUAAUUACAACAUUAUUUAGUUUUUUCCAAAAUUUUUACAAAAUAAACUGACGACAGCAAUACACAAACUGUUAUAAUUCAAAAAAAAGUAAGUAUAAAUUGAGGAUUAUCAAAUUAAUAAGCAAGCUCCCCUGGUAGGAUAUAUAACACCGCCAAGCCUUUUAAGUUUCAAACAAUUAAAGAACUAUAAAUAUAUAUAUAUAUAUACUAUGUCCAUAUUUAUACUACUUAAGUAACAAAAUUUUUAAAAUAAAGAA